rnacentral:lncRNA from 1 species
AUGCAAAUGAGAAAGAAAAGGACAUUAAAGGACUCAGCAAAAAAAGAAAGAUGUAUCCUGAAGAUAAACCAUUAUCAUCUGAGUCCUUAUCAGAAUCAGAUUAUAUUGAGGAGGUACGAGCAAAAAAGAAGAAAAGCAGUGAAGAACGAGAAAAAGAAAAAACAAAAAAGAAAAAGAAGCAUAAGAAACACAGUAAGAAGAAGAAAAAGAAGGCUGCUAGUUCAAGUCCUGACUCACCGUAACAUUAAGGAAAAUCAGGAUUCCCUUAUAAAGAAAGUGCAAUGUCUAAGGAAAUUUCAACUGUGA